AUGCGUGUUUAGAACAUUUUGGUUCCGUCCCGGUAUUUUUCCUCUCUCCCCUUUCUUCCUAUUAAAGUUACAGCAGUACGUCGGUGAAAGCGCUUUCUUCGAUGGAUUCCUGAUAAGGGGCGCAAUGGCAAUGGACUGCAGUAGGUGGCUGGAUUGAUAGCGGAAACUGCGAAUGGCAAGCCAUCGAUGUAUCUGUCUCUCGGCGCUGCGCUGCGGCACGCCAACCAAACAACCAACCAAACCAACCGUCAACAGCCAGCAUCAGGCUUCAGCAGCAACUGUGUCACAACCGCAGCUGAAAUAACAACAAAAGUUUCACAGCUGCUCAUACAUAUAUACAUACAUGCAGAACAUACAUAUGUACAUACUCCAUAGUGCUCCAAAGUGCACAAAGUCGAAUACCCUACCCACAACCUGUACAAGUGUAUUUAUCUCCUGGUUUGUUCACCACAUAAUAAACUAAAUGAACAGUUGCACUCAC